UGAGAACCAGGUUAUAUUAAAAAAUAAAAUAAGGCAUGAGCCACUGCAUCUGGCCCCCUAUUCCUGUAUUCAUUUAGAGUUCUGUUUAUUUCUUACUAGCCAAUCCCUUCUAACCUCAAUUCCUUGUUAAGUUAAUACCUUUUUACAUUAGACUGCAUGUGGUGGGUCACACCUGUGAUUCCAGCACUUUGGGAAGCUGAGGUGGGAGGAUUGCUUAAGUCCAGGAGUUCCAGACCAGCCUAGGCAACAUAGGGUGACCCUCUGUCUCUACAAAAGAAAUGUAAAAAUUAGCCAGGUGUGGUAGCACACGCUUGUGAUCCCAGCUACUCAGGAAGCUAAGGCUGGAGAACCACUUCAGCCCAGGAGGUGGAAGCUAUGGUGAGCCAUGAUUGCACCACUGCAUACCGGCAUGGGUAACAAAGCAAGACCUUGUCUCAAAAAAAAAUUUUUUUUCUUUUUACAUUAAACUUUCCCUGUUCAAAUUGCUGUGUGGUUUCUGCCUCUUGACUAGAUACUGACUGAUACAUGGGACAUCAAGUAGAGUCAUCAGAUGAUACUGCCUCAGUGGUGAGAGCAAAUUAGCCUUAGACCAAAGGCUAUUCUCCUCUUGCCAAAUGGUACCUAAAAGCACACCUUAAAAGGAUCAAUCUGUUUCCAAGGAACUUAACUAAGUCCCUGAACGAGGCUCAAAUAUAUUCAAAGGAAUACAAAAAAAUCUAGCACCAAACAACAUAAAAUAUACAAUGUCUGGCAUCCAAUCAAUAAUUACCAGGCAUGCAAAGACACAGGCAAAUAAUGACACAAAGCUGACCCAGAAAUGUCACAGAAUUAGUAGACAAGGACUUUAGCUCCAAUAGCUAUUAUUAAAUACCAUCCAUAUAUUCAAACAGAUAUGGAAAAACAUAAACACGAUGUAAAGAGGUGUGAAGAUAUAAAAUAAGACCUCAAUUGAACUUCUAAAGAUGAAAUGUAUAAUAUCUGAGAUGAAAAGUAUACUGGAUGGAAAUAAAAGCAGAUUAGACCCUGUAGAAAACAGGUUUUUGAAGACUUAGCAAUAGAAACUAUCCAAGAUGAAACACAGAGAGGAAAAAAAGACUUAAAAACAAAAAACAAAAAACAAAAACAAAACCUCCAAAACCAAAAUCCAGAAAAUCAGUGAGCUGUGGAAUAACAAGUAGCCUGUAUACCUGUUUGGAGACCAGAAACGUGGGUCUAACAGAUUCACAGGAGAGAUGACAGAAAAAAUAUCUGAAGGAACAAUAAUUUUCAAAUUUGAUGGAAACUAUAAAUCCCUAUGUCGAAGAAGCUCAAUAAACCCUAAGCAGAAGAAAUAUGAAGACAACUACACCAAGGGUACAUCAUAAUCUGCCUUAAUCACUGCUGAACACCAGUGAUAAAGACACAAAUCUUAAGAGCUGCCAGAGGAAAAAAACACAUUGUGUAAAAAGGAAAAAUAGAAGUGAUUUCUCGUCAGAAACAAUGCAACCCUGAAGACAGUGGAGUAAUGUCUUUAAAGUACGAAAAGAUAAAAACUGUCAACCUAGAAUUCAGUGGAGAUAUCUUUCAAAUAGGAAGAUGGAAUAAAGAUGCAUUCAGACAUUCCAAAAUUGAAAGAAUUCAUCAUCAGUAGACCUGCACUAGAAGAACGGCUUUAAAAAGUCCUUCAAGCAGAAGAAAAAUGAUACCAGAUGGAAAUCUCCGUCUACACAAAGGAAUGAAGAGAGCUGGAAAUGGUAAAUAUGUGGGUAGAUAGAAAAGAUAUUUUUCUGAUUUUAAAAUUCUCUUUAAAAGAUACUUGAGGGUUUAGAGCAAAUCUAAUAAUGUAUUGUGGGGCUUAUAGCAUGUGUAGAAAUAAAUCCAUGGUGACAAUAGCACAAAGGCGGAGAGGUGGGGAAUGGGAGGAAGGUGUUUGCGCUGAGUGGUGUGAUAUUACUUGAUGGAGAUAGACUAUAAGUUAAAGAAGCAUUGUGUAAUCCUAAAAGAACCACAAAAAAAUGUAAGUGUAGUAUUAUGAACCAAUAAAGGAGAUAAAAUGAAGAUCACAAGGGGUGUGCUGGCCACCCCCUUGGCACACAGAACAGUUGGGUGGAGUUCCCCAGCCCAGCAGGGUCCCAUAGAGCCUCUGUAGGUGUUUGGGAUAGAAUGAGUACCGUCAGAAAGAAACUUCCUCUCCUGCCACCUUCUGGCAGUAAAUCCAGCCUAUUUUUAACUCAGGCCUCUGCUUAAGUGCUUUUGGCUAAAAGAGAAUUGCUGCUUCUAAGAAUCUCAGGCAGCCACAGUCUCCUCGGCUUCUCUGCUCGCUCCAGCCCUAGAAGGCUCAGGGACUGCUCAGAUGUCCC
rnacentral:lncRNA from 1 species